rnacentral:rRNA from 1 species
AUGUUUGAUGUUCUAACGUGGACCCGUAAUCCGGGUUGCGGACAGUGUCUGGUGGGUAGUUUGACUGGGGCGGUCUCCUCCUAAAGAGUAACGGAGGAGCACGAAGGUUGGCUAAUCCUGGUCGGACAUCAGGAGGUUAGUGCAAUGGCAUAAGCCAGCUUGACUGCGAGCGUGACGGCGCGAGCAGGUGCGAAAGCAGGUCAUAGUGAUCCGGUGGUUCUGAAUGGAAGGGCCAUCGCUCAACGGAUAAAAGGUACUCCGGGGAUAACAGGCUGAUACCGCCCAAGAGUUCAUAUCGACGGCGGUGUUUGGCACCUCGAUGUCGGCUCAUCACAUCCUGGGGCUGAAGUAGGUCCCAAGGGUAUGGCUGUUCGCCAUUUAAAGUGGUACGCGAGCUGGGUUUAGAACGUCGUGAGACAGUUCGGUCCCUAUCUGCCGUGGGCGCUGGAGAACUGAGGGGGGCUGCUCCUAGUACGAGAGGACCGGAGUGGACGCAUCACUGGUGUUCGGGUUGUCAUGCCAAUGGCACUGCCCGGUAGCUAAAUGCGGAAGAGAUAAGUGCUGAAAGCAUCUAAGCACGAAACUUGCCCCGAGAUGAGUUCUCCCUGAGACUUAGAGUCUCCUGAAGGAACGUUGAAGACGACGACGUUGAUAGGCCGGGUGUGUAAGCGCAGCGAUGCGUUGAGCUAACCGGUACUAAUGAACCGUGAGGCUUAACCUUACAACGCCG